rnacentral:siRNA from 1 species
UUUCUGGUAGACCAAAGAGCU